UACGGGGGGGGCAAGCGUUGUUCGGAAUUACUGGGCGUAAAGGGCGCGUAGGUGGCCAACUAAGUCAGACGUGAAAUCCCUCGGCUUAACCGGGGAACUGCGUCUGAUACUGGAUGGCUUGAGUUCGGGAGAGGGAUGCGGAAUUCCAGGUGUAGCGGUGAAAUGCGUAGAUAUCUGGAGGAACACCGGUGGCGAAGGCGGCAUCCUGGACCGACACUGACACUGAGGAGCGAAAGCCAGGGGAGCAAACGGG
rnacentral:rRNA from 1 species